rnacentral:rRNA from 1 species
AACGAACGCUGGCGGUAUGCUUUACACAUGCAAGUCGAACGGGUAAGAGCCAUAGCAAUACGGAAUUCUGCUAGUGGCAGACGGGUGAGUAACGCGUGGGAACCUACCUUAUAGUACGGAAUAGCCCCGGGAAACUGGGAUUAAUACCGUAUACGCUCUUCGGAGGAAAGAUUUAUCGCUAUAAGAUGGGCCCGCGUUAGAUUAGCUAGUUGGUGAGGUAAUGGCUCACCAAGGCGACGAUCUAUAGCUGGUUUGAGAGGAUGAUCAGCCACACUGGAACUGAGACACGGUCCAGACUUCUACGGGAGGCAGCAGUGGGGAAUAUUGGACAAUGGGCGAAAGCCUGAUCCAGCAAUACCGCGUGAGUGAUGAAGGCCUUAGGGUUGUAAAACUCUUUCAGUAGGGAAGAUAAUGACGGUACCUACAGAAGAAGCACCGGCUAACUCCGUGCCAGCCGCCGCGGUAA